UAGGGAAUCUUCGGCAAUGGACGAAAGUCUGACCGAGCAACGCCGCGUGAGUGAAGAAGGUUUUCGGAUCGUAAAACUCUGUUGUUAGAGAAGAACAAGGACGUUAGUAACUGAACGUCCCCUGACGGUAUCUAACCAGAAAGCCACGGCUAACUACGUGCCAGCAGCCGCGGUAAUACGUAGGUGGCAAGCGUUGUCCGGUUUUAUUGGGCGUAAAGCGAGCGCAGGCGGUUUCUUAAGUCUGAUGUGAAAGCCCCCGGCUCAAACGGGGAGGGUAAUUGGAAACUGGGAGACUUGAGUGCAGAAGAGGAGAGUGGAAGUCCAUGUGUAGCGGUGAAAUGCGUAGAUAUAUGGAGGAAAACCAGUGGCGAAGGCGGCUCUCUGGUCUGUAACUGACGCUGAGGAUCGAAAGCGUGGGGAGCAAACAGG
rnacentral:rRNA from 1 species